UAAAAAUGUAAAUAUAAAUUCUAAAUUAGUAUUAGUUAUAAUCUUUAAAGUUAAAGAUUUUGGCGGUAUUUUAGUCUUUUCAGAGGAACCUGUUCUAUAAUCGAUAUUCCACGUUUAAUUUAACUUAUUUUAAAUAAUUUGUAUAUCGUCGUAGUUUGAAUAUUUUAUAAGAAUUGUAAUGUUCAAGAUUUUUAAUAAGAAAAUAAAUCAGAUCAAGGUGCAGUUUAUAAAUAAGAAGUAAUGGGUUACAAUAAUGUUAAUUAUAUGGUAUAAAAAUUGAAAUUAAUUUUUAUUAAAGUGGAUUUGAAAGUAAUAUUGAUUAAUUUAAAUCUUAUGAUUUAAGCUCUAAAAUAUGC
rnacentral:rRNA from 1 species